UUCACCAAAACGAUGCCGAUUUGAUGAGGAAGAAAUAAAGACUGAGUCAGAUAUACAACAUUGUCAAACAAAAUCAACAUCGAUAUCACCUAACCGAUUUAAAGUGGACAAAGCAACAGCUGUUUCGCCUAAUUUUCAUUUUAACUCACCACGCAAAACUACGUUGCGGGAGAUGUUGAAAGAGCAGGCACAACAACAUUCGAAGACAGUAUCAGCAUUAAAGCAAAAAGUUCAGCGACAAGAGAAAAAAAUUGCUUCAAUAGUAGAGAUACUACAUACUUUGCAAGAAAAGUAUUUGGAUGAACAUCAAGUGGAUAUCUUGAAAGAUAUCAGUUCUUCUAAUGCCCAUUUCUUAAAACGAGCCAUUAAAAAAGACAUGGUUUUCUCAUCCCGUGACCAAAGAGAAAGUGUUUAUCUUUCUUGAUCCUUGUCAUGCAAUAAAAUUAAUUCGUAACGCUUUUAGCGAUAUGAAAUGGUUUUUAAAUGAACGCGGGGAACACAUUUCGUGGAAAUUCAUUCAGCUAUUACACGAAUUUCAAGAAAAGGAAGGAUUACAUUUAGGUAAUAAACUUAGACAAACGCACAUCAAUUAUCAUUUACAAAAAAUGAAAGUACGAUUUGCUGCUCAGGUUUUCAGUAAAUCUGUAGCUGAUGCAUUGAAAGUAUGCGAAAAAGACCUACAAUUACAUGAAUUUCAAAAUUCUGCGGCAACUUCGGAAUUUAUAAAUAUUUUCAACGAUCUCUUUGAUAUAUUCAAUUCAAAAAAUCUUAGAUCAGUCGGAUUCAAAAAAGCAAUUAAUUUAGAAAACAGUACAGCUAUUAUACAAAAUUAAAUGAAUGUAAAGCGUACAUUUUUGGUUUAAGAACCACGGAUGAAAAAUUGGUAGUUCAGAGUAGGCGUAAAAUGGGCUUUUUAGGAUUUAUAUUAUGCAUUGAAAGUUUAAAAGGUUUAUUUCAGGAUGUGUGCAGAGAUAGUACCGAAUUUAAAUACAUUCCGACUUAUAAAAUAUCUCAGGACCAUAUCGAAU